CUGUGUCCAACUCUUCCUCACAGGUUAGUUAAUGACAGACAGUCAGUGAGUGUGUCUGUGUCCAACUCUUCCUCACAGGUUAGUUAAUGACAGACAGUCAGUGAGUGUGUCUGUGUCCAACUCUUCCUCACAGGUUAGUUAAUGACAGACAGUCAGUGAGUGUGUCUGUGUCCAACUCUUCCUCACAGGUUAGUUAAUGACAGACAGUCAGUGAGUGUGUCUGUGUCCAACUCUUCCUCACAGGUUAGUUAAUGACAGACAGUCAGUGAGUGUGUCUGUGUCCAACUCUUCCUCACAGGUUAGUUAAUGACAGACAGUCAGUGAGUGUGUCUGUGUCCAACUCUUCCUCACAGGUUAGUUAAUGACAGACAGUCAGUGAGUGUGUCUGUGUCCAACUCUUCCUCACAGGUUAGUUAAUGACAGACAGUCAGUGAGUGUGUCUGUGUCCAACUCUUCCUCACAGGUUAGUUAAUGACAGACAGUCAGUGAGUGUGUCUGUGUCCAACUCUUCCUCACAGGUUAGUUAAUGAUGUUACUGAGUCAAUGUGAGCAGAUUGUGUCUGUAGACUGAAGAGAAUCAGAGUCUCACUGAUGGUGGAAAUAAAGGUUUUACUUCCUUAAAACA